rnacentral:rRNA from 1 species
CCCUUAGAUGUUCUGGGCCGCACGCGCGCUACACUGACGAUGGCAACGAGUUUUUCCUUCGCCGAAAGGUGUGGGUAAUCUUUUGAAACAUCGUCGUGCUGGGGAUAGAUCAUUGCAAUUUUUGAUCUUGAACGAGGAAUUCCUAGUAAGCGCGAGUCAUCAGCUCGCGUUGAUUACGUCCCUGCCCUUUGUACACACCGCCCGUCGCUCCUACCGAUUGAAUGAUCCGAUGAAUAUCAUGGAUUGAGGAUGCAAGUAGGUUCACCUAUCUUCAUCUUCGAGAAGUGAAGUAAAUCUUAUCAUUUAGAGGAAGGAGAAGUCGUAACA